UGUUGUGAAGAAUCAGGCCUUUCAGAUGAAAAGAUGUCUGGACAAAGGAAAAUUAAUGGAUGGCUUGAAACAUGCAUCAACAAUGUUAGGCGAAUUACGUACUUCCUUGUUGUCUCCAAAAAGCUACUAUGAGCUUUGUUUAUCUCCAAAAGAUCUCGGUUGGUUUCGAUAUUGGCAUGUAUCGGACCGAAACUUCAUGGAUUAUGGCCCCUGAUUGUACGAAAAAUCAAGUUUUUAUCACCCACAAUUGUUUUUGGACUCUCUACAGGUCACAGGCGAUUGGCUGGUCUUCCUGCUGCGUGCGUCGAAAAAUAACUAAUUUCGCUAGAAUUUUAAGAAAAAAGAAAGAUUUAUGAAUACGGUACUCUUGUAAAAUGCUCAAAUAAAAGUGUUUUAAAAUGGUUUAUUGCUAUUUUGAUCGAUAGACUCAUUUAUAGAUUCAUUUUUGUGAAAAUCUCAAUUUCGACCAAAAUCAAUAUUUUCUCUUGCUUCAUCUGUACUGCAAUAUUAGAUUUUGUUGCAUUCCAACUCAUGUUGCCACGCGGGUCACAAAAUAUGAAAAGAUAGGUUGCCAGGCAACAAAACAUACGCCCACAGCAGCUAAAUUGUCCGGGCAGUCAACAAGAGUUGUCGCAUAUUUUUACUUUUUUCGGUAAUGAGACAUUUAUAAUACACUAAAAUCUGAUUAAGAGCAACAACUCAGAAAACCAUUAGAAUUUGUUUGGUUUUUAUAAAGUUCUGCCCCAUGCUAAUGUUUUGUAUACAAAACUUUUAAUACUGUAUCAUGGAUUUAGCUGUUCCAAGUCAUAAAAAUUCAUUGAAAAUCAAUAUACUUGUUCGCCUCAAGAUCUUAAACUCUAGUGUAGCAAUCUGAAGUCAAUCAGAUAUUAACUUUGGCCUCUAGGGCGUCCACAAGAUUUUUCAAGGUGAUCAAGAGCCAUAACUUUGGCAGUAAUUAUCAGAUUUCUUUGAAAAUCAAUAGGAUUCUUCGUCUCAUGAGCUUAAACACUGUGUAUAAAUUUAAAGUCAAUCGGAUAUUAACUUUGGCCUU